rnacentral:rRNA from 1 species
UACGUAGGGGGCUAGCGUUGUCCGGAUUUAUUGGGCGUAAAGAGCGUGUAGGCGGCCAAGUAGGUCUGGUGUGAAAACUCGAGGCUUAACCUCGAGAUGUCAUCGGAAACCAUCUGGCUAGAGUCCGGAAGAGGAGAGUGGAAUUCCUGGUGUAGCGGUGAAAUGCGCAGAUAUCAGGAAGAACACCUAUGGCGAAGGCAGCUCUCUGGGACGGUACUGACGCUGAGACGCGAAAGCGUGGGGAGCGAACAGG